GACGAACGCUGGCGGCGUGCUUAACACAUGCAAGUCGAACGGAAAGGCCCUGCUUGCAGGGUACUCGAGUGGCGAACGGGUGAGUAACACGUGGGUGAUCUGCCCUGCACUUCGGGAUAAGCCUGGGAAACUGGGUCUAAUACCGGAUAGGAGCCAUUUUUAGUGUGAUGGUUGGAAAGUUUUUUCGGUGUAGGAUGAGCUCGCGGCCUAUCAGCUUGUUGGUGGGGUAAUGGCCUACCAAGGCGGCGACGGGUAGCCGGCCUGAGAGGGUGGACGGCCACAUUGGGACUGAGAGACGGCCCAGACUCCUACGGGAGGCAGCAGUGGGGAAUAUUGCACAAUGGGCGCAAGACUGAUGCAGCGACGCCGCGUGGGGGAUGACGGCCUUCGGGUUGUAAACUCCUUUCGCUAGGGACGAAGCUUUUUGUGACGGUACCUAGAUAAGAAGCACCGGCUAACUACGUG
rnacentral:rRNA from 1 species